UACGGAGGGUGCGAGCGUUGUCCGGAAUCACUGGGCGUAAAGGGCGCGUAGGCGGCCUGAUAAGUAGGGGGUGAAAUCCUGCGGCUUAACCGCAGGGCUGCCUUCUAAACUGUCGGGCUAGAGCACGGUAGAGGCAGAUGGAAUUCCCGGUGUAGCGGUGGAAUGCGUAGAGAUCGGGAAGAACACCCGUGGCGAAAGCGGCUCUCUGGGACGGUACUGACGCUGAGACGCGAAAGCGUGGGGAGCGAACAGG
rnacentral:rRNA from 1 species